UACGUAGGGUGCGAGCGUUGUCCGGAAUUAUUGGGCGUAAAGAGCUCGUAGGCGGUCUGUCGCGACGGAUGUGAAAGCCCGGGGCUUAACCCCGGGUCUGCAUUCGAUACGGGCAGACUUGAGUGUGGUAGGGGAGAUCGGAAUUCCUGGUGUAGCGGGGAAAUGCGCAGAUAUCAUGAGGAACACCGGUGGCGAAGGCGGAUCUCUGGGUCAUUACUGACGCUGAGGAGCGAAAGCGUUGGGAUCGAACAGG
rnacentral:misc_RNA from 1 species